AUUGUUAAAUUCUGAAAAUUUUGGUCUUCCAAAAAAUUUUGGUAGGGGAAUGGGGGGCAUGACGGGGUCGCGAGGUAAGACGGGGUACCGUACACAAACAAGAAACUACACGUUGGUGAAUAACAUGCAGUAACUCAAUAGGAAGAGUCAUUCGACUAACGGUCACUGCAAGAGAAACCGUGAAUGAGAGUGCACGCGUUUUUUGUUUACAAACGGAAAACUGUUUUAGCGCUCCGUUGAUCUAAUUUUGUGCAAGGACAACCAUCGUUAUUUUAAGAUAAUACCAUGGUACGUACUUACAAGAAAAAAACAAAAAGAGGAGAGUGGUCGAGAGAUGCUAUGAAAACAGCCAUAGAUAAAGUAACAUCGUCAGAACUCUGGAUAGGUUGCCAGAUCUGUGAAUGUUGAGCUCACAAUGCUUGUGCUAGGGUGGACAAUGAAAUCUGGAGCAAAUACACAUUUUUGUUUGUUUUGUGAGAAUUAAUUAGCAUCACCAUCAUGCCCCAAUUCCAUUACCCCAUCAUACCCCAUAGUAUGGGGCAAGAUGGUUUUUCAUAAUGUUCUUAUUAAUGGCUAAUUGUUGAAAAAUGUGAUAUGGGCCAUUCCAUAAGCAUACGCCUGUUUUGGAUAACUUCGACAACGAAUAUUUUACUGUGCAACAUAAGAAGUACGAAAGUAAAUGGCGCUAAUAAUUAUUCCAAUAAACAACAAUGUAAUUUGCAAUUUACUUUCGUUCUUCUUAUUUUGCACAGUAAAAUAUUCGUUGUCGAAGUAAUCCAAAACAGGCGUAUGUUCGUGGAAUAGGUUGAUUUUCCAAAGAUUGUACCAAAUCAUAGUUAGAUUAAUGACGUAACGCGCCAUCAAUUAGUAAUAGUAAUAAACGUAGUAAUUAUGUUGUA